rnacentral:rRNA from 1 species
GACAGAGGGUGCUAGCGUUGUUCGGAAUUACUGGGCGUAAAGGGCUCGUAGGUGGCCAACUAAGUCGGACGUGAAAUCCCUCAGCUUAACUGGGGAACUGCGUCCGAUACUGGAUGGCUUGAGUUUGGGAGAGGGAUGCGGAAUUCCAGGUGUAGCGGUGAAAUGCGUAGAUAUCUGGAGGAACACCGGUGGCGAAGGCGGAUCUCUGGGCCAUUACUGACGCUGAGGAGCGAAAGCGUGGGGAGCGAACAGG